rnacentral:lncRNA from 1 species
ACAACCAUAGGAAGAAGUUAAAUAUGCUAAUGUUGGAGUGUGGUUUUGCUUAAUAUCUUUCACUCCUUCAGUUUGUAAAUGCAUUAUGUUUACUUUAAUGGGCAAGAAAUGUGAUACACAUAAAACUCUCUACGUCUAGCUUGGAGGUGCGGUGUAAAGUGAUCAGACCUGUUCUGGCCACUGGACAAGGAGAACAUGAUGAAACAUGUUAGAAAGAGAAAGCAGCUAAGACUAGGAGGUUUUAAAAAGACUCAAAUGUACUGCUCUUCUGAAACGGUUAUUUUAUACUGAUCAUCCCCCAUAAUGAUGUGCAGGAGGUACAUGCACCUUAUUUUUUACUUGAUUUUUCUUGGUGCUGCACUGAUCAUCUACUUCAUACAAAGUGGCAUGUUGAAAGUCAAGAAAAGCACACUUGCACACCGCUUAAGUCCUGAACAAUCUAAAAAUCUCAAGUUUGACAGAACUCCCCAGGCCAAAUGUUUCUUGUCAAGGCGCUGAACUCAGGAAAUUUGUGCCAUAUGAAAUGGAUAACAUACUAGAACGCAGAGCAAAAAGAAUACAAGCAACAUCAACUCAG